rnacentral:rRNA from 1 species
AUGAUAUCGCCAAGACGGUGUUUCGGACUCAUCACGCACUUCGAGUUCUUGGUGAUGCCGUUUGGCCUCUCCAACGCCCCGACGACCUUCCAGGCUCUGAUGAAUGAUGUCCUCCGGUCCUACUUGCGUCGGUUUGUGCUCGUUUUCUUUGAUGACAUUCUUAUCUACAGCGCCUCAUGGGCGGAGCACCUCCAGCACGUCGCCAUCGUCUUCAACGAGCUUCGGGCGCAUCAGCUUCAUCUUAAGCGCUCGAAGUGCUCGUUCGGGACGCCUUCAGUCGCCUACCUCGGCCACGUCAUCUCGGCCGAGGGGGUUGCUAUGGAUGCCAACAAGGUGGCGGCCGUCGCGGCCUGGCCGACACCACACUCACCGCGGGCUCUUCACGGCUUCCCGGGCCUCGCGGAGUACUACCGGAAAUUUAUCCGGGAGUUCGGCCUCAUCGCGUCUCCACUCACGCGCUUGCUGCGCCACGACGCCUUCGCCAGGGACGACAAGGCGACGGUGGCAUUCGAGGCCCUCAUGACGGGCCCCGUUCUUCAGAUGCCGGAUUUUGACCGCCCAUUUGUGGUGGACUGCGACGCCUCCGGUGCGGGGUUCGGCGCCGUCCUUCAUCAGGGCAAUGGCCCUCUCGCCUUCUUCAGCAGGCCCUUCUCCGCGCGCCAUCUAAAGCUCGCGGCUUAUGAGCGGGAGCUCAUUGGCUUGGUGCAGGCGAUGCGCCAUUGGCGGCCCUAUCUGUGGGGCCGGUCUUUCCGGAUUCGCACGGACCACUAUAGCCUCAAGUUCUUGGUGGACCAGAGGCUCUCGACCGUGCCGCAGCACCAGUGGAUCAGUAAGCUCUUCGGCUUCGACUUCUCCGUCGAGUAUCGCCCCGGCCGCCUUGACACCGUGGCCGAUGCCUUGUCUCGCCGCGACGCCGACCACGACACCGCUGUUGGUGACUCCGAGGGGGCGGCACUCUGCAUCCGCUUCGGACCCACCUUCGCCCUCUUCACCGACAUCCGCCGGGCGACAUCGGCCGCGCCAGAUGCGCUUCUCCUUCGGUAG